UGCGGAGGGAUCAUUACUGAGUGAGGGAGCAAUCCCGACCUCCAACCCUUUGUGAACGCAUCAUGUUGCUUUGGGGGCGACCCUGCCGCUCGCGGCAUUCCCCCCGAAGGUCAUCAAAACACUGCAUUCUUACGUCGGAGUAUAAAGUUAAUUUAAUAAAACUUUCAACAACGGAUCUCUUGGUUCUGGCAUCGAUGAAGAACGCAGCGAAAUGCGAUAAGUAAUGUGAAUUGCAGAAUUCAGUGAAUCAUCGAAUCUUUGAACGCACAUUGCGCCCCCUGGUAUUCCGGGGGGCAUGCCUGUUCGAGCGUCAUUUCACCACUCAAGCCUCGCUUGGUAUUGGGCGUCGCGAGUCUCUCGCGCGCCUUAAAGUCUCCGGCUGAGCGGUUCGUCUCCCAGCGUUGUGGCAACUAUUUCGCAGUGGAGUUCGAGUCGUCGCGGCCGUUAAAUCUUUCAAAGGUUGACCUCGGAUCAGGUAGGGAUACCCGCUGAACUUAAGCAUAUCAAUA
rnacentral:rRNA from 1 species